rnacentral:rRNA from 1 species
GAUGAACGCUGGCGGCGUGCUUAACACAUGCAAGUCGAACGGAAAGGCCCUGCUUUUUUGGGGUGCUCGAGUGGCGAACGGGUGAGUAACACGUGAGUAACCUGCCCUACACUUUGGGAUAAGUUCAGGAAACUGGGGCUAAUACCGGAUAGGAGCCCCUGCUGGAUGGUAGGGGGGGGAACUUUUCGGCGGGUGGGGAUGGAUUGGCGGAUUAUCAGCUUGCUGGUGGGGUGGUGGCAUACCAAGGCUGUGGCGGGUCGCCGGCCGGGGAGGGGGAACGGCGACAAUGGGACUGAGAUACGGCCCAGACUCCUACGGGAGGCAGCAGUGGGGAAUAUUGCACAAUGGGCGGAAGCCUGAUGCAGCGACGCCGCGUGUGGGAUGACGGCCUUCGGGUUGUAAACCGCUUUCGCUUGUGACGAAGCGGGAGUGACGGUACCGGGUGAAGAAGCACCGGCUAACUACGUG